rnacentral:lncRNA from 1 species
AUGAAGAGAGCAGGAAGAAUCGCGGACACACCUUUAUUAAAUACGAAUGGAUGGAGGAUUGGGCUCAUAGAUGUGGUUGAAUGGGCUGUGAUGGGUUGUUAUGGAGCAGGUGGUUCUCUUCUGAAGCCUACACCUCCCGUACACCCCUGGGACCCCGAACGCAAGGCUGAUGUAACACCACAGGUGUAGACGGGUCUGGAGUCACCUGAGUGGAGACUUAAGGCUACAUUCAAGCUGCUUUUAUCUUCAGUCCGUUGUCAAAGGCAGGGGUCGUCGGGUGUCGGACCCUGAGGAAACAGUAUCCCGUGCUUCCCCUCGAGCACUUCCUGUGCGUGUCACUCAAGAGCCGGGCUCGUGUCUCUGAUCAAAGGCCACGAACAGGAGCAGACGACAGGGUGAUGCUGAAGGAUGUCCUGAACGGCUGGGGGAGCUGGGAACUGCCCCUGCAUCCUCAACCCAGUCCUGAUCUCACGCCCAGGUCUAGAGGAAAGGGUUAAAAUCGAUAGUGUGGUGAGCAGAUGAGCAGUUCGGUGGAUUAAGAAGAGUCUUAAAUCAAGCAUCGUUAUUGAUUUGUCCAAACCUCCAAAACUCAACAAACC